rnacentral:rRNA from 1 species
UGGGGAAUUUUGCACAAUGGGCGAAAGCCUGAUGCAGCGACGCCGCGUGGAGGAUGAAGGCCUUCGGGUUGUAAACUCCUUUUGUAGGGAACGAUAAUGACGGUACCCUAUGAAUAAGCCACGGCUAACUCUGUGCCAGCAGCCGCGGUAAGACAGAGGUGGCAAGCGUUGUUCGGAAUUACUGGGCUUAAAGGGCGCGUAGGCGGCGAUAUAAGUCCGGGGUGGAAGGCUGAGGCUUAACCUCAGGAUUGCCCUGGAAACUGUAUUGCUUGAGUCAGCGAGGGGAUGGCGGAAUUCCUGGUGUAGCGGUGAAAUGCGUAGAUAUCAGGAGGAAGGCCGGUGGCGAAGGCGGCCAUCUGGCGCUGAACUGACGCUGAGGCGCGAAAGCGUGGGGAGCAAA